rnacentral:rRNA from 1 species
UACCAGCACCCCGAGUGGUCGGGACGAUUAUUGGGCCUAAAGCAUCCGUAGCCGGCCUUACAAGUCCUCCGUUAAAUCCAGCUGCUUAACAGUUGGGCUGCGGAGGAUACUACAGCGCUAGGAGGCGGGAGAGGCAAGCGGUACUCAUUGGGUAGGGGUAAAAUCCACUGAUCCAUUGAAGACCACCAGUGGCGAAGGCGGCUUGCCAGAACGCGCUCGACGGUGAGGGAUGAAAGCUGGGGGAGCAAACCGG